GCUGUGUCAGCUCCGAGGAAGGCCGGCAUCCUGAGUGGAGCUCUGUACUCAGAGCUUGGCCAUGCUGCCCAGGGAGUCCCACUGAUCUGCCCAUCUGAGUACCUGUCUAACCUCUCAGGAUGAUGCUCAACUCCAAGGUAUGUGUAAAGCUUCAGUCACACCCUGGACCAGGGUGGCAUGAAGUUCAGAGAUGCAGUCUCUUGCCACACCAUUGCAGCUAACUAGAAAACCAAACUCAAGGACAGAAGGGAUGGAGCUGGAACACUGCUGUGGUGCAGAGCCAGCACUGGCCAUACAGCCUCAUUACUGACACAGCUGACUGGGUGGCAGAACAAACUGGAAGGGAACGGGACACUGAAUGGUACUGCAAAAUGAGC